rnacentral:lncRNA from 1 species
UUUUUGAUAUGUGUGCAAAUUUUUAGAUCAUUCCGAGGUGAUUAGGUCGGGUUUUGGAGCAAAUGCAAGUUUCGGAAGUUUUAGUUUAACUUAGACUUGAUCCGUGGUAAUUUGAUGAUUUUGAUGUUUAUGAUAGUGUUUUUAUGUAACGAGCAAGUUUGAAUGAGGUAAUAGAAUAUGUCUGUGCUUUUGGUUGAGGCCCCAAGGGCCUCGGGGUGAUUUCGGAUGGCUAACGGGAAUUUUUGGAAUGAAAAAGUGCAGCUGAAAUUGCAGAGCAGAAAUAGCCCUCUGCGAUCGCGAGCCUGGGGCUGGGAUCACAUAGAAGGUUCUAAGGGGGGUGCUAGUUUGGUCUCUGCGAUCGCGUAUCUUGGUCUGCAAUCACGUAGGCUAGAGUGGUG